CCACAGAUCAGAUUAUCUUCCAUCACAGACGCUGCCUGACCCUACACAGACUCGAAAUAACCCCCACCCAACAGUGGCAUCAACCAACAGUGGCAUCAACCAACAGAUUAUCUUCCCUCACAGAGGCUGCCUGACCCUACACAGUUUCAGAAGCAGCUGCAAGAACCACAGUAUCCACCACCAAGCAGAAUAACCAAGAGCAUCAAAAAAGAAGAAAAGUACGAGAUGGCUCUUCCUUUUGAAUACCCUGCAGAGUUAAAGACCAAAAAAAAAAGAAAAGUGUUCAAGGAGAAGGUACUGGAAGCUCAUCCAGAGAGGCUCUACUAUGAUGCAACGCGUCAGGAUAUAAGAACAAACCUGAUCUUUAACAAUUCAAAUAAAAAUGCAUGGCUGAAUACAAUCACGGAAGAAUACACUGAUCUAGAGGUAACUGAACAUAAAUGGAUCAAACUCAAGUCAAGAAAGGGCACCAUAUGUGUGUAUGACACUGGACGUGUUGUCGUGUACGGCAAAAAACUAAUGAGAGACUUUGUGGAAAGAUUUGAAGUCAUGAGAGUGAAUUUAAAUGAUGGUGGAGGUGCUGAUGGGACUGAGGGCGAUGUGACCACCACAGGUGCUGAUGAGACUGAGGGCGAGGACAAAACAACCCAAGACCAGCCCAGCCCAACUGAGGUUGAGGAAUAAAGAGCUAGUAACAAUUUGAGGGAGAAAAAUGAACAAAAUUGUGUCUAGAUACCGGACUAUUAUAGAAUAUUUGCUCUUUUUUUAGCAGGGUUAACUGGGUUUGUUUUCUGAUUUGAAUUUUUUUUCACAUCUGAUAGAUCGUUUUUUUUAAA